rnacentral:lncRNA from 1 species
GCCGAUUCCUUGGCUGGUGGGGAAUCACAUGAGUAGGUGGCGGGUCAAGACUACGGCUCGAAGUGCAUUGAGCCCUGGUCGUCCGAGGAUGGCAUUAUAAGCCGAGGGCAGACGCACCACGAAGAAACCCAUCCUCACGGUACUUUCUCGUGGGGCGAGCCCGACUGUGACCAGAAGAUCAACCUCGCCCUCCACUGGGACUGAGUUUCCAGUGAAUCC